CUCGACCCCUACUCAUCCUACGCAACGCCCCUAAGACCUCAUCCACCCUAAUGCGCCUGCAGUACCCAAGGUCUCUAUGUCGCUCUGAAUGCUCCAGCUCCCCUAGCUCUAUGUUCCGAUCCCCCUCCUCGUUAAGAAGGUCCCGAAAGUACGCCUUCCACCUCUAUUUGAUUUACGAUUCCCCCAUCAGAACUCUACCAUCCUCGUCCUUGAUACACCUGGCUUGGUCUAGAUCACGAGCCUUCCUUUCCCUUACUUUUGCCAACCGGAAUAGCUUCUUAUCCCCACCUCUCUCCCCUAGUUCCUCAUAUAUGCGACCGAACGCCGCGUUUUUAGCUUCCGUGACUGCCAUCUUUGCUUCUUUUCUCGCCUCCUUGUAGAUCACCCUGUUAGCUCUCCGUUCCUCCUCGCUUGUGCUCCCUGCCUACCUAGCGAACGCCGCCUUCUCCUCCUCCACUUUUCCUUUGACUACAUCGUUCCACCACCAAUCACCCUGAUGUCUGCC
rnacentral:lncRNA from 1 species